AGGAUAAACGCUGGCGGCGUGCUUUACCAAUGCGAGUCGAGCGGAUGCUCAGCAAUGAGCGUUAGCGGCGUCCGGGUGCGUAACACGUGGGUGACCUGCCCUGUUGUGGGGGAUACCCACCCGAAAGGGUGGCUAAUACCGCAUGUUCUCACU
rnacentral:rRNA from 1 species